GAGCCCCAGGAAAGGCAGAAGCCCUAAGCUUGCCCAUUUGGGCAGAGGGAUCCUCCUCAUCUCCUCACUGUCACUGAACACAGGAAAAAUGCAUAAGAGGAAAAAAAGAAAAGACUCAAAACAAAAGACCUCAACAAACCCACAACCCCCUCCCCAAGCAAACAGCAAAACAACAAACCGAAGAGUCCUAAAACUCCCACAUCUUCCUGUUCUGAAGGCAUGGGAACCUUGAGAGCUAUUGCUUUCUCAGUGACGAGUGGUCAAUGCAGCCAGACUGUGGAAUUGGAGCUGACAAUGCUGCUUCUGUGACCAGUGUUGAAGCAAGCCCAGGGUGAGCCCUGUCAAGAAAAGACCCCAAUAUUGUACUGAUUACAAGUUGCAGUGCCACCGAAUUCCACUUUUGUCUUGAAUGGAGAGUUUCCUGUAAAUUUGUGUUUAUUUCACUGGGGACAGCCCCAUUUUCAGAUUUAUACCCUCUUCAUAGCUGUCUUUCAGUAUAAAAUGAAGUAAGUUCUGCUGUUGUGUGCAAAUAAACAGAGUUAAUUUCCAUUUCUA